CUAACAUCCGAGCGAGGGCAAAGUGCCAACCUCUGAUCCGCACCACGCAUCGCUUCGUGGCUCUCUGCUGUGCGCUCAGGCUGAGCUGCUGCCAUUGAUGUCUGUGCAAGGAGUGAGGGCAGACUGUGCAACUGGGAGACUUUUUGCCCUACAACUGAAGGGAAAUGAACUGGAAUGACUAACUGAAAGGGAAGAUCUGUGGAUUCGGUAGGCUGUGAUGUGGUAGUGCUGAAAAGAGUGGAAGAGCCUGUGUGCUAGCUAACACAGGACAGUGAACUUUACAGGCACAGCCAUGAGCUGGCAAACCCACAAGAAAAGAGGGAAAUGUGUUGUUCUGUGCUCUCUGAGGUCUUGGCUUGGAUAGACCAAAGGAGCAUUUUAACAUCAAAAUCCUCUUGGUUCUGAAACUCAUUGGAACCAGUAGAAAAUCUGUUCAAAACAUUCAGCAAAGUUUGGUGUUUUUCUGUUUGUUUGUUUCCACUGUGGUGAGGAACUUGUGGAACUGAUUGUGUCAGAAGGCUGUGGAGACAGGCAACACAAGCAUGUUCAGAAAGGAGCUGGACAAAUCCGUGGAUAACAAGUCUAUAGAAAUACACUGAAGAAAGGGACCAAAGGUGUUGGCAUCCGUAUCCCUAAUCCAAACAAAUGCAGAUGUUGGAAAAGACUGCAGAUCAGGGCAAGUGCCUCCCAGCUGGACUAGAUGGAGCAAGGCUCUCUCCCAAUGAAGGGACAAUCCACAUGUGUUCCUCUGCAGAAAUCAGUUUAGUGACAUGGCCUUUCCCUUCUUCUGUGAAGCCCUUCUGCAUGCUCUGUGCAAUGGGCAGUGACUUAGAGGGUGCUCAGAAGCCUGAUACUGUUGCUGCUUUUGCCUUUAUGAACCUCAUGGGAAUGAGGCAAGUGGAUAUUUGCCCUGCAAUGGCAGAAAGAGGGCUCUGGCAAGGUCUACUCUGUACAGAGAUCUUUGGAGACAGCAUAAGGGGAUAG
rnacentral:lncRNA from 1 species